GAUGAAGAACGCAGCGAAGUGCGAUAAGUAAUGUGAAUUGCAGAAUUCCGUGAAUCAUCGAAUCUUUGAACGCAUAUUGCACUUUCUGGUAUUCCGGAAAGUAUGCCUGUUUGAGGGUCAGUUAAAUAAAAAUCGGUGUUGUUGCUACCCCGUAGUGGCGUUAAUGCAUCGGAAUUGAGUUGUCUUUACCUUUUUUUGGUUAAGUGACUUAAAAUUAUGUACGAUUUUUUGAACGUAUUUAAUUAUUUACGUAUGUUCAUAAUAUCAAAUAUUAGGCGCGGUCAUACUCAUGAUUUUCGCGUCUAUAAUUCUUUCAUUAUUUGACCUCAAAUCAGGUAAGAAUACCCGCUGAACUUAAGCAUAUCAAUAAGCGGAGGA
rnacentral:misc_RNA from 1 species